rnacentral:rRNA from 1 species
AGCGAACGCUGGCGGCAGGCCUAACACAUGCAAGUCGAACGAACUCUUCGGAGUUAGUGGCGGACGGGUGAGUAACACGUGGGAACGUGCCUUUAGGUUCGGAAUAACUCAGGGAAACUUGUGCUAAUACCGAAUGUGCCCUUCGGGGGAAAGAUAUAUCGCCUUUAGAGCGGCCCGCGUCUGAUUAGCUAGUUGGUGAGGUAAAGGCUCACCAAGGCGACGAUCAGUAGCUGGUCUGAGAGGAUGAUCAGCCACAUUGGGACUGAGACACGGCCCAAACUCCUACGGGAGGCAGCAGUGGGGAAUCUUGCGCAAUGGGCGAAAGCCUGACGCAGCCAUGCCGCGUGAAUGAUGAAGGUCUUAGGAUUGUAAAAUUCUUUCACCGGGGACGAUAAUGACGGUACCCGGAGAAGAAGCCCCGGCUAACUUCGUG